UAACGAGCGAGCUCGUCCACCGUCAGACUCUGUGGGAAUGGCCAUCGCUCUUUGCCCUUGCCUCGCGCUAUCUCAGAGUCGGAGGAAGACUUGCCCAACCCGCAGAGCUGCCGUCGUCUAGAAUUAUUGCACAAGAAGAGUUUCGUUCGGGAAGAUUGAAGAUAAUUGAGUUGGACGAAGGAGUUGCUUAGAGAAGCUGUUUUUUCAAUUGUUUUUCGCAAAAUCCAAUGUAAUCUGUAUACCUUGACGCACUCUUAGGCUUUAUCUUUAAUUUCCUCUAAAUAUACUCAUAUAUACUCACAUUCAAAGACAAUAUUGAAUCGUUUUCACCAUUCAUCGCUAGCUUGCAGUGAGUCUAAAUUUAAUUUUGCGAAUAAAAAUGACAAAAAUAACUUACGAAAAGGGAGAGAAAUAUAUAGAAAUAGAUUCCAAAGAAGCGAAGUCUCGCGACCGCGUUACCAAAGCUGCAGGAUGCCGACGGCAGAAAUCGCGUGUUAAAAACUCGCAAAAGGCAUGCUGCGGGCCGGGCCGAGAGUUCGAAACAAACUGAGCACGACUGCAGGGAGGAUAAUGGGCGUCGGGAGGAAGGUACAUGCCGUCACAGGCAUCUCCGCAUACGGGGAACAUCGAUUUAGAACACGAGGAGAAAUAAAAUCCGGUUUAUGCGGUAUAAUGGAUUCCCGACACGGAAGCAAUCGAAUUAAGAGGCAAUCCAGAAAGUGGACCAAAAAUACACCGGUGCCAAUCACGUUUCGGGCAAUUAAUUAUUCGACGAGCCGCCAUCCUGCCUUUUAUCUUCGUCCGUAUGUAAAGCGCUUUUCGCUUUACUCCUAAUCCGUGGAUGAUCGCUCAUCUUUACCGGAUCACGCGAUGAUCGGCUCAGCUCUAAUAUACCCACUUAGCGGUAUUAACUGCAUAAUUUAACUGCCUCGUUGAUGUAAUCUGCCAAGUUUUAUCAUCAAUAUAGAUAGAAUGAUACAAACCUCAGAGAUUUUUUCUUCUCGAUACCCGAAACAUCGCAGAAGGUUUACGUUUUCCUUUUAAUCUUCAUUUCUGAUGGACAGCUUGUAGGUAUAAAUUGAGUAUUCCAGAUAAUACAGUGAUUUUGUAUCGUAGAUAUUUUUGAGCAGUUCUAUACUAAUAAUGAAUUUGAUCGACGUAAGACCGGCAGUUAAUG